GAUCAACAUCAUCUUCAUAAUCAUUGUGUAAUAAUAUUCCCGGAAAGUAAAAUAAUGAAAACAUCAUCAAUGAAGUUUGCUUUUGUUUUGUUCUUAGCCAUUACAUCGGGUAAAAAUCAUUGUUUUCAUAUGUAUUAAUUACUAUAUAUUGAUAAUAAUAUAUAUAUAAAUAUUGGUAUGGGUUGGUCAUUGGUGUUCGUAGUGAUGAGUAUUGUAGCAGUUCCAGAUAUUGAAGCAGAGCAGUUAGCACCGGAAGAAGCUCCUUACGUUUUGUUGCAUCGUGAAGGUUCUUCACCAAAAGAAUCUCCACAAAAGUUUACAUUUAGAUGCGACACACCUAGGUGUCAAAUAAUUUGUACGAUUCGAUGUUUUUGUAUAUGCUAAGCUUCAUCUCUUCGUUAAUAAUAUAUGUAUUCACUAAAAUAAAAUAAAAGACUUGAUUGUUG
rnacentral:lncRNA from 1 species